GCUGUGUCUCAAUUCAGGGUCUGCAUCCUACGUCGGCCGGAUUCGUCGGCCGGUUACGUCACAGCGCCGCGACUAGGCCUGUCCCAAUUCGAAGACUCCUUCAAAUGCGGUCGACGAAUGCGGCCUUCUUUUCGCCUAAAUGAAGGAUGGGUCCGGUGUAUCCUUCAACAGGUAGCAUUUCCCAAGAUGCCUUGCGGGCCGGCCGGCAGAAAUACUUAAAAACAAUGGAGGACAGUGAAGCGGGAGCUGUCGGAGAGGAUUGCGCAUAUAAAUGAACAAAAGAGAAAACCAGGGAAUUUAUUAAGCUUAGGGCGGAGAUGGACCACAUGAUCACCGGAGCAAAGUUUUCGGCGGCUGUGGCAUGGAGAUACAAUAACAUCUCAUAUUUUACAUAACUCGUUUGAGUUUAUUUUUUUCUGCGAAAACAUGAAAGGAAUAACCCGUUGUCCUCUUUUCUCUAUCUUUUCUCUAUCUGUUUUUUCUUACAUGUUUGUAAUGGGCAUCCAGGGGAAGGUGCCAGCGAUGACCAGCUUCUGGAGCUGAUCAGGGAGGACAUGAGGCUGCAGAGGGCACAGGAGAGAAGGAAGAACUUUGACAGCUUUUUACUUUGCUAGAAAAAAAAUGGUUAAGGAAGAUUAAACAUGUACAUAUAAAAGAAAUAUCUAAAUAAAAUCAGUUCUGCAUUAAA